UCCGAGGCAACUCGGUCGUGAGGAGUUGCUGUAGCAAUACGGCUCUCCUUGAACAAGUCUUUCAGAGUCUAUGUUUUUCAUAUACCCCAUAGUAUGUAACAGAAUGUAUACAAUGAGCCUUAGUGCUUAUAAAACUUAUACAACUUUCAACAACGGAUCUCUUGGCUCUCGCAUCGAUGAAGAACGCAGCGAAAUGCGAUAAGUAAUGUGAAUUGCAGAAUUCAGUGAAUCAUCGAAUCUUUGAACGCACCUUGCGCUCCUUGGUAUUCCGAGGAGCAUGCCUGUUUGAGUGUCAUUAAAUUCUCAACCUUUAUUAGCUUUUGCUGAUAAUGGCUUGGACUUGGGGGUCUUUUGCCGGCUUUUACUAGUCAGCUCCCCUUAAACGCAUUAGCUGGUCACCUCUGGUGGAACCGUCUAUUGGUGUGAUAAUUAUCUACGCCGUGGACAUCUGCCCUUGGAGUAGGUGUGCUGCUUCUAACCGUCUGUUCAUUCGGACAAUACAUAUGACAUUUGACCUCAAA
rnacentral:sRNA from 1 species